ACCAGACUCCUACGGGAGGCAGCAGUGAGGAAUAUUGGUCAAUGGCCGGAAGGCUGAACCAGCCAAGCCGCGUGAAGGACGAAGGUGCCAAGCAUUGUAAACUUCUUUUGUCAAGGGACAAAAUCAGGCUCGAGAGCCUGACCGAGGGUACUUGAAGAAAAAGCAUCGGCUAACUCCGUGCCAGCAGCCGCGGUACUACGGAGGAUGCGAGCGUUAUCCGGAUUUAUUGGGUUUAAGGGGGGCGUAGGCGGUCUGUUAAGCCAGCGGGAAAAGCCCGGGCCCCACCCCCGGCGAGCCGUUGAAACUGGCUGUCUUGAGAUGUCGAGAGGUAUGCGGAAUGCGCAGUGUAGCGGUGAAAUGCUUAGAUAUUGCGCAGAACUCCGAUUGCGAAGGCAGCAUACCGGCGGCGAUCCGACGCUGAGGCACGAAAGCGUGGGUAUCGAACAGGAUUAGAUACCCCGGUA
rnacentral:rRNA from 1 species